CCUACGGGAGGCAGCAGUGAGGAAUAUUGGUCAAUGGGCGAGAGCCUGAACCAGCCAAGUCGCGUGAGGGAGUACUGCCCUAUGGGUUGUAAACCUCUUUUGUCGGGGAGCAAAAGCCGGACGUGUCCGGCUGUGAGAGUACCCAAAGAAAAAGCAUCGGCUAACUCCGUGCCAGCAGCCGCGGUAAUACGGAGGAUGCGAGCGUUAUCCGGAUUUAUUGGGGUUAAAGGGUGCGCAGGCGGAUUUUUAAGUCAGCGGUCAAAUCGUGGGGCUCAACCCCAUCCAGCCGUUGAAACUGGGGAUCUAGAGUGUGCGAGAGGUAUGCGGAAUGCGUGGUGUAGCGGUGAAAUGCAUAGAUAUCACGCAGAACCCCGAUUGCGAAGGCAGCAUACCGGUGCACAACUGACGCUCAGGCACGAAAGCGUGGGUAUCGAACAGGAUUAGAUACCCCUGUAGUC
rnacentral:rRNA from 1 species